rnacentral:lncRNA from 1 species
AGAGUUGUUCUUUAAGUUUUCAUAUCGAUCAUCCCGAGUUUCUGUUAGUCUAGAUCUCUUCCUAUCUGUCCUUUCUUGCUCUAAUCUUUUAAUAUCCGAUUCAACUUUCAAAGCUUGUUCCAGUACAUUCUUGUAGUUGUUCAAAAGAUGAGAGGAUAAGCGAGAUUGAAUCUUAUAUCCUAAACCAUGCUCAAAUCUAUUUGCUUUGCUUCUUUUAGACUCUAUGAGUGAGCGGCAAAAUCGAUCUAACUCAUUGAAUUUAUUUGCAUACUCCAGUACUGUUAUGUCAUCUUUUUGCUUCAAAGUCAAGAACUCAUUCUCCUUAACUAAUCUAACUAACUCUAAAAAAUAUUGAU